AGCUUUGCGCAGUGGCAGUGAGGUAGCCAAUGAGGUUUAUCCAAGGCGCGAUUAUUGCUAAUUGAAAACUAAAAAAACAGAAUUCUAAUUUCACAUUUUAGUUGACAGGAGGCAGAUUUUUAAUCUAUUUUCCGUACUUAACAAAAAC
ensembl:snRNA U4 U4 spliceosomal RNA